rnacentral:rRNA from 1 species
GGACAACCUACCCUCAGGACGGGGAUAAACCCGGGAAACUGGGUAUAAUACCCGAUAGAUCUCGGCUGCUGGAAUGCAUCGAGUUCUAAAGCUCCGGCGCCUGAGGAUGGGUCUGCGGCCUAUCAGGUAGUAGUGGGUGUAGCGUACCUACUAGCCUACGACGGGUACGGGUUGUGAGAGCAAGAGCCCGGAGAUGGAUUCUGAGACACGAAUCCAGGCCCUACGGGGUGCAGCAGGCGCGAAAACUUUACAAUGCCGGCAACGGCGAUAAGGGGACCUCGAGUGCCAGGUUACAAAUCUGGCUGUCGUGAUGCCUAAAAAGCAUUGCAUAGCAAGGGCCGGGCAAGACCGGUGCCAGCCGCCGCGGUAACACCGGCGGCUCGAGUGGUAACCGUUAUUAUUGGGUCUAAAGGGUCUGUAGCCGGCCGGAUAAGUCUCUUGGGAAAUCCAGCAGCUUAACUGUUGGGCUUUCAGGAGAUACUGUCUGGCUCGAGGCCGGGAGAGGUGAGAGGUACUUCAGGGGUAGGGGUGAAAUCUUGUAAUCCUUGAAGGACCACCAGUGGCGAAGGCGUCUCACCAGAACGGACCUGACGGCAAGGGACGAAAGCUAGGGGCACGAACCGGAUUAGAUACCCGGGUAGUCCUAGCCGUAAACGAUACUCGCUAGGUGUCGGCCACGGUGCGACCGUUGUCGGUGCCGUAGGGAAGCCGUGAAGCGAGCCACCUGGGAAGUACGGCCGCAAGGCUGAAACU